rnacentral:rRNA from 1 species
GGGAAAUGCUAUACAUUGACUUCGAUAACGUCUGAUCUGUGAAGCUAAGCAGAGCUGGGCCUGGGUGGUACUUUGAUGGGAAACUGUUGGGAAUACCAGGUGCCACA